rnacentral:rRNA from 1 species
AGUAGUUUAGAUCCCUGGCUCAAGGAUGAACGGCUGGCGGCGUGCUAACACAUGACAGUCGACGAAGCGCUGCGGCGGACCCUCCGGGGAAAGCCGCGGGGACUGAGUGGCGACGGGUGAGCAACGCGUGGCAACCUGCCCGUACCGGGGACAACAGCCGGAAACGGCUGCUAAUACCGCAUAUUCCGCGGGCGCAUGGCCCUGCGGGAAAGCUCCGGCAGUACGGGAUGGGCCCGCGUCUGAUUAGCUUGUUGCGGGGUAACGGCCACCAAGGCUGCGAUCAGUAGCCGGCCUGAGAGGGCGGCCGGCCACAUUGGGACUGAGACACGGCCCAGACUCCUGCGGGAGGCAGCAGUGGGGAUAUUGCACAAUGGGGGAACCCUGAUGCAGCGACGCCGCGUGAACGAAGAAAUAUUUCGGUAUGUAAAGUUCUAUCAGCAGGGAAGAAAUGACAGUACCUGACCAAGAAGCCCCGGCUAACUACGUG